rnacentral:lncRNA from 1 species
GAUUAUUUCACCAGCAGAAGUGUUGAGAGAGGAAAAGUUAGAGUGGCGCUGGUGCAGGUUCACUGGAGGGGAAGAGAAAAACGACGGCUGAGGCUUGCGAGGCAAGUUGGAGAGGCUGAUGGCUCCACCGACGUGAUUCUGUGAUGGCUAUGACAUAAAAGGUGGUGGCUGGAGGAGCUCUCCGAUUGGAUGGUGGCCGGAGAUGGUGGUGUUUGGUCGCUG